UGACCGCUGGCGGCGUGCCUAAUACAUGCCAGUCGAGCGAACAGACGAGGAGCUUGCUCCUCUGACGUUAGCGGCGGACGGGUGAGUAACACGUGGAUAACCUACCUAUAAGACUGGGAUAACUUCGGGAAACCGGAGCUAAUACCGGAUAAUAUAUUGAACCGCAUGGUUCAAUAGUGAAAGACGGUUUUGCUGUCACUUAUAGAUGGAUCCGCGCCGCAUUAGCUAGUUGGUAAGGUAACGGCUUACCAAGGCAACGAUGCGUAGCCGACCUGAGAGGGUGAUCGGCCACACUGGAACUGAGACACGGUCCAGACUCCUACGGGAGGCAGCAGUAGGGAAUCUUCCGCAAUGGGCGAAAGCCUGACGGAGCAACGCCGCGUGAGUGAUGAAGGUCUUCGGAUCGUAAAACUCUGUUAUUAGGGAAGAACAAAUGUGUAAGUAACUAUGCACGUCUUGACGGUACCUAAUCAGAAAGCCACGGCUAACUACGUG
rnacentral:rRNA from 1 species